rnacentral:rRNA from 1 species
UACGUAGGGUGCAAGCGUUGUCCGGAAUUAUUGGGCGUAAAGAGCUCGUAGGCGGUUUGCCGCGUCUGCUGUGAAAACGCGAGGCUCAACCUCGCGCCUGCAGUGGGUACGGGCAGACUAGAGUGCGGUAGGGGAGAUUGGAAUUCCUGGUGUAGCGGUGGAAUGCGCAGAUAUCAGGAGGAACACCGGUGGCGAAGGCGGGUCUCUGGGCCGAUACUGACGCUGAGGAGCGAAAGCGUGGGGAGCGAACAGG